rnacentral:lncRNA from 1 species
UUUCUGGGGGUUACAUUUACAACAAUUCAUGGAGGAGGAACCAGUGGCGUCGGAGACAGCGAGUCGCCGUAUGGUGAGUUUUCUUCUUUUUUUAAAAAUUCAACAGCAUUUAUGCGAUUAAGUUAAUAUUUGAGCCCUAAUCAUGGAGUUAAUGAUGUACAGAAACGAACCAGAGCUCAAACUAGGGUUAACGAAGAGCAAUUACACGGCAGUGUGAAUGAGGAAGAAAGAGAAGAAUCUUCCGACGAUUUUGAAGACUCUCGUGCUAGAGCUAAGCGGAGUAAGGUUUUAAGAGGCACUUCAUCUGUUGCUGCUAGAAAUGCUCAUCAGAGUUUAAU